rnacentral:rRNA from 1 species
CCUACGGGCGGCAGCAGUGAGGAAUAUUGGUCAAUGGACGAGAGUCUGAACCAGCCAAGUAGCGUGAAGGAUGACUGCCCUAUGGGUUGUAAACUUCUUUUAUAAAGGAAUAAAACGAGGCACGUGUGCCUUUUUGCAUGUACUUUAUGAAUAAGGAUCGGCUAACUCCGUGCCAGCAGCCGCGGUAAUACGGAGGAUCCGAGCGUUAUCCGGAUUUAUUGGGUUUAAAGGGAGCGUAGGUGGAUUGUUAAGUCAGUUGUGAAAGUUUGCGGCUCAACCGUAAAAUUGCAGUUGAAACUGGCAGUCUUGAGUACAGUAGAGGUGGGCGGAAUGCGUGGUGUAGCGGUGAAAUGCAUAGAUAUCACGCAGAACCCCGAUUGCGAAGGCAGCAUACCGGUGCACAACUGACGCUCAGGCACGAAAGCGUGGGUAUCGAACAGGAUUAGAUACCCCAGUAGUC